rnacentral:rRNA from 1 species
CCUACGGGAGGCAGCAGUGGGGAAUAUUGGACAAUGGGGGCAACCCUGAUCCAGCCAUGCCGCGUGUGUGAAGAAGGCCCUCGGGUUGUAAAGCACUUUCAGUGAGGAAGAACGCCUGGUGGUUAAUACCAUCAGGAAAGACAUCACUCACAGAAGAAGCACCGGCUAACUCCGUGCCAGCAGCCGCGGUAAUACGGAGGGUGCGAGCGUUAAUCGGAAUUACUGGGCGUAAAGCGCGCGUAGGUGGCUUGAUAAGCCGGUUGUGAAAGCCCCGGGCUCAACCUGGGAACGGCAUCCGGAACUGUCAAGCUAGAGUGCAGGAGAGGAAGGUAGAAUUCCCGGUGUAGCGGUGAAAUGCGUAGAGAUCGGGAGGAAUACCAGUGGCGAAGGCGGCCUUCUGGACUGACACUGACACUGAGGUGCGAAAGCGUGGGUAGCAAACAGGAUUAGAUACCCUGGUAGUC